rnacentral:rRNA from 1 species
UACGAAGGGGGCUAGCGUUGUUCGGAAUUACUGGGCGUAAAGCGCACGUAGGCGGACAUUUAAGUCAGGGGUGAAAUCCCAGAGCUCAACUCUGGAACUGCCUUUGAUACUGGGUGUCUUGAGUAUGGAAGAGGUGAGUGGAAUUCCGAGUGUAGAGGUGAAAUUCGUAGAUAUCGGGAGGAACACCGGUGGCGAAGGCGGCGACCUGGGUAGAUACUGACGCUGAGGUGCGAAAGCGUGGGGAGCAAACAGG